UUCCACUAUGAGAAGUUGCCUUCAGAG
rnacentral:piRNA from 1 species